GGGAAAAGCUCAAAUUUUGAAUCUGGCGGUCAUUUGGAUCGUCCGAGUUGUAAUCUAGAGAAGCGUCUUCCGCGCUGGACCGUGUACAAGUCUCCUGGAAGGGAGCGUCAUAGAGGGUGAGAAUCCCGUCUUUGACACGGACUGCCAGUGCUAUGUGAUGCGCUCUCGACGAGUCGAGUUGUUUGGGAAUGCAGCUCAAAAUGGGUGGUAAAUUCCAUCUAAAGCUAAAUACAGGCGAGAGACCGAUAGCGAACAAGUACCGUGAGGGAAAGAUGAAAAGAACUUUGGAAAGAGAGUUAAACAGUACGUGAAAUUGCUGAAAGGGAAACGCUUGAUGUCAGUCGCGUCUGCCAGGGAUCAACCUUGCUUUAUCGCUGGGUGCAUUUCCUGGUCGGACGGGUCAGCAUCAGUUUCGAUCGUCAUAGAAUGGUCAAGGGAACGUGGCACCUCCAGGGGUGUGUUAUAGCCCUAGAUCGUAUGUGUCGGUGGGGACUGAGGAACUCGGCACGACCUUCAUGGGUUUGUGUUUAGGAUGCUGGCAUAAUGGCCUUAAGCGACCCGUCUUGAAACACGGACCAAGGAGUCUAACAUGCCUGCGAGUGUUUGGGUGGAAAACUCGAGCGCGUAAUGAAAGUGAAAGUCGAGAUCUCUGUCAUGGAGAGCAUCGACGCCCGGACCAGAGUCUUUGACAAAGGAUCUGCGGUAGAGCAUGCAUGUUGGGACCCGAAAGAUGGUGAACUAUGCCUGAAUAGGGUGAAGCCAG
rnacentral:rRNA from 1 species